GGUUACUCAUGCAUGAGCCUCUAUGAGCUUACAAACAAUGGCAAACUGACACUCACUUACAGAGCAGUUCGUUUAGCCCCUUGAAGUCCAUCAUAAUGCACAGUAACAGCCAUCACAGGCAAUGUGCAGCAGCCAGGCACUCAGACAUUUCUGCCCCGGAAUUCGUUACGGAGGAUCAUGGUCGGAAGGACCAACCGAUUUUCAGCGCUUUCAGUGAGGAAUGUUGAAUAUAAGGAUGCAGGACUGUACUUCUGUGGAAAGCACUACUCCUCACUGGAGCACACUGAUUUGGAGACGUACUAAAUGUUCCUCCUCGUUUGUAGACCCCCAACUGGAUGUAAAGUUUUAUUUUAUGAAGAGAGAUUAUAUUUACGAAAUUAUAAAUGGGAUUAUGUUGCCAUCUGUGAGUGGACUACACCUUUGGCCAUGGAGUCAAACUCGACUUUGGUGGAGGAGAAGACUGUGUUAAGAAGCAGCAUAGAUAUCUUAAGUGGCAUAAAUGUUGGGUGUGAGUGAACACAGCGAGGAGGUUUUUGUACGACGGAUCCCACUACUUCUGUCACUGUGGUACAUGUUUGGCCAAGGAACCAAACUGACAGUGAAAAGUCGCGACCUCUCCUCUCCUGAAGUCAAGAUCCUUCGUCCAACCAAGACGGAGGCUUCUCCCAGUGUCCCAACAUCACUGGUUUGUGUGGUCAGCAAAUUCUACCCUGACCACGUGACUGUGAGCUGGCUGGUGGACGGACAGGUGGCCAAAGGGGACAAACAGGACAGCCAGUCGGUGCGUGCGUCUGACAAGACCUACAGCAUGAGCAGCACCCUGUGGCUCCCGCAGGCUGACUGGGAGGCCGCCAAGAGCUUCACCUGUCAGGUCCAACAUGAGAGCCUGAAGGACCCUGCUACCAACACACUCAGCAAGAGCCAGUGUGAGUAGCCAGGAGUCCAGAGCCCAGAGCCAGUCCAACACACACACACACACACACACACACACACACACACACACACACACACACACACACACA